rnacentral:rRNA from 1 species
UGAGGAAUAUUGGUCAAUGGGCGAGAGCCUGAACCAGCCAAGUCGCGUGAAGGAAGACAGUCCUAAGGAUUGUAAACUUCUUUUAUACGGGAAUAACGGGCGAUACGAGUAUUGCAUUGAAUGUACCGUAAGAAUAAGCAUCGGCUAACUCCGUGCCAGCAGCCGCGGUAAUACGGAGGAUGCGAGCGUUAUCCGGAUUUAUUGGGUUUAAAGGGUGCGUAGGUUGUUCGGUAAGUCAGCGGUGAAACCUGAGCGCUCAACGUUCAGCCUGCCGUUGAGACUGCCGGGCUUGAGUUCAGUGGCGGCAGGCGGAAUUCGUGGUGUAGCGGUGAAAUGCAUAGAUAUCACGAGGAACUCCGAUUGCGAAGGCAGCUUGCCAUACUGCGACUGACACUGAAGCACGAAGGCGUGGGUAUCAAACAGG